UAGAAGGAUUUAAAUUUUAGUAGAAAAUUAGAUUUAUUUUAUGAAAGGGAAAAAAAGGAAAAUUAUAUCUAGUAUCGACAUCUCUCCUUUCUUUUCUGUGAUUCAGAGGAUGUUGAAGUUCCUGCUAGAUUGAAAGUUAGUUAGAAAAUGACCGCAUCGGGAGCAAGCCCGAUUGGUGGUCAUAUUUUCUAUAAAAGAUGGAAACCUCCGUCCAUCUUGGCUCUUAGUCAGGACUAUCAGCCUAAGCUUUUAGUCGUCCUAUUAGCCAUUGGACCUCCUUUGUUAGAAGAUACGAGCCCAUCCGAGUUUCCGUCUCUCCCAUCGUAGGAAGAAACAAGAAGAAACUCAGUGAGUAAGCAAACUUUGCGAAAGAAUAUUAUCGCCACUAGAGAGCGCCUGCAACCGUCCAACCAUAGAGAGCCUAUAAUGAGAGAGUGGCCGUAUAAGAAACGCUUUUCUAUUGGCAGUUUGUGACCACAUGACUGUAAGCCGCCAUUACUCUUCCAAACAACGUGUAAGGGAGAUUGGAACGAAAGCUUGAUGAAUAAAUUUUAUCGUCUCUACGUUCAUUGUCUGCAAACGAAUUAAAACUCAUCAAAGUAAUUCUUAGAAUAUGACUGGAUGUGCUGCUUUCGGCUGUACAAAUCGCAGCGGGAAAGGAUUUUUGAUGAAAGUUUACCGAAAGAUCUGCACGUCGUAAGCUUUGGGAAAUAAAAGUGAAAAGAAAAACUGGAAAGCAAACAACAGCAGCUGUUUAUGUGAGGAUAAACGAAGCCAUUGUGGAUAAAGAAUUCUGCAUUUUUUCGAGCACCAUAAAAAAUGUAAACCUAGGAAAGAAAGUUGUUAACAUUUAAAAUCACAUUUGAUGUAGUUUGAA